rnacentral:rRNA from 1 species
CAAGGAAGGCAGCAGGCACGCAAAUUACCCAAUCCCAGCUCGGGGAGGUAGUGACGAAAAAUAACAAUGCGGGACUCUUCCGAGUCUGCGUAAUUGGAAUGAGCACACUUUAAAUCCUUUAGCAACAACCAAUUGGAGGGCAAGUCUGGUGCCAGCAGCCGCGGUAAUUCCAGCUCCAAUAGCGUAUAUUAAAGUUGUUGCGGUUAAAAAGCUCGUAGUUGGAGGUCAGUUCCGGACUGGUGUGGGAGGUCACCGCCCGGUGCUUCCCCGUCAGGCUCCGAACAGCUUCCGUGAGUGGAAGCCAAGCCGGUUCUGCCGGGGUGCUCUUUACCGAGUGUCCCGCGCGGCCGGCCAGUUCACCUUGAAUAAAUGAGAGUGCUCAAAGCAGGCUACUCUGGAAUACAAUGCCCGAAUGUUACCUGCAUGGAAUGAUGGAAGAUGAUCUCGGUUCCAUUUUGUUGGUGGUGGGAGCCAGAGGUAAUGAUAAAGAGGGACUGUCGGGGGCAUCCGUACUACGACGCGAGAGGUGAAAUUCAGUGACCGUCGUAGGACGAACAACAGCGAAAGCAUUUGCCAAGAAUGUCUUCGUUGAUCAAGAACUAAAGUUAGAGGAUCGAAGGCGAUCAGAUACCGCCCUAGUUCUAACCCUAAACGAUGCUGACUAGCAAUUCGCCGUCGUUAUUCCCAUGACGUGGCGAGACGCCCCCGGGAAACCUCAAGUCUUUGAGUUCCGGGGGUAGUAUGGUUGCAAAAGUGAAACUUAAAGGAAUUGACGGAAGGGCACCACCAGGAGUGGAGCCUGCGGCUUAAUUUGACUCAACACGGGAAAGCUCACCAGGCCCGGACACCAGAAGGAUUGACAGAUUAAGAGCUCUUUCUCGAUUUGGUGGGUGGUGGUGCAUGGCCGUUCUUAGUUGGUGGAGUGAUUUGUCUGGUUAAUUCCGGUAACGAACGAGACUCUGGCCUACUAAAUAGUGGACGUUGGUUUUGGUGCAUGGGCCACGUUCGAUACAGUCUUCUUAGAGGGAUGAGCAGCGAGUAUAGCUGCAGGAGAUUGAGCAAUAACAGGUCUGUGAUGCCCUUAGAUGUCCUGGGCCGCACGCGCGCUACACUGAAUGGGUUAGCGGGUUGUCCUUCUCCGAGAGGAGCGGGAAAUCGCGUGAAAACCAUUCGUGAUAGGGAUUGGGGCUUGCAAUUGUUUCCCAUGAACGAGGAAUUCCCAGUAAGCGCAAGUCAUCAGCUUGCGUUGAUUAAGUCCCUGCCCUUUGUACACACCGCCCGUCGCUACUACCGAUUGAAUGAUUUAGUGAGGCCUUCGGACUGGCGGUCUUGGACUGGGUCGGCGGGUUUGUUCCAGCAAUGGGAUGCCGUCGACUCGCCUAGACGAGCCGGAAAGAUGUCCAAACUUGAUCAUUUAGAGGAAGUAAAAGUCGUAACAAGGUUUCC